CUGAUCAUAAGCAUUGUUGCUGUAGUAGUUGGUGUUUGUGUUGGUGGUUGUGUCAGUUGGAUAAUUGGUGUAGCUUUCUUGGUUUUGGUUUUGGGUCUUGUAUGGCUGGUAAGUGGUAGUAGUGUAGGGUGCAUUAGCUAGCUUAGUGGUGGUGGGGAACUGGGUGGAUUCUUGACCAUAUAGACCAUAACCAUUUUGGUUGUCUGGGAUGAAGGCUGGAUCUUGUUCUUGCUUGCUCAACCCUUCUUCUUUUUCUUUGCUGGGGAGUGUUUUAUCUUGAGCGUUAUCGUUGCUGAUGGUGGUAGUGGAGGGAGUGGUGGCGGUGGCGCCACUGACUUUGCUAAAGAACUGGCUCUCUCUGGCAUGGAUUUGCACAGAUAAAAUGGCUAGGAGGAAGAGAAAGGAAAUGAGUCUUGGAGAGGGAGCCAUGGCUAAAGAAAGGAUGGCUAAAGAAAUCCCCAGCGAAGUCGCCAUCCUGUCGCACCCCAAAAAAAAAUCCUGCGCGCGGCAUCGGCUGGCGAUUUUUCAUCGUUUUGUUGCGUUUGCUUUGAAUUUGUUCGUUGGAGUCGCCACCUAGUAAUUCAUUGAGGGCUACUAGGAAACCUGAUGUACUGGUCUUGUCAGAGAUCGCGGGUAAGGGACUGGUUGUGGUUAGGGAAGGUAUUAGCACCCCUAACACACCCUACCUAAGGUAAGCUGCAUUGUGUUCUAAUGUGAUUUGAAAAUUUAAAAUAUUAAUUAAAUUCUAAGGCUUGAAUAAAUUAGUUAUUAAAUCCCCGAAUAUAUGUAAAAACUUGUUCUUACAUUUUCAUGGAAAAUACAACUUGAUUUUAUUUGUCCUUGAGAUAUUUAACCAUACUUAAGAAAAUUUAAAAUAUUAAUUAAAUUCUAAGGCUUGAAUAAAUCAGUUAUUGAAUCCCCGAAUAUAUGUAAAAAACUUGUUCUUACAUUUUCGUGGAAAAUACAACUUGAUUUUAUUUAUCCUUAAGAUAUUUAAUCAUAUUUAAUAUAACAAUUAAUUCUUUUUAUCCUUCUUUUAUUUUUACAAUUUAAUAACAUAAAUAAAAAUACAAACAAGCACACAUCUCUUUUUAUUAUUUACUUUCUUUUAUUUUCUUUUUUUUUUCCAAAUUUACAAAAUAUAAAUUACAACAAAAACAAAAACAAAAGCAACUAAACCAAAUAUUACAUUAAAAUUACAAAAUAAACCUUAAAAAAAAUAGAAUCAGAAACAGUGCAGCACGGGAACAGGCUUCUGGGUUUGAAAACAGUGGCGGCGCGUCUCUUCCACACGCCACCGUCACUGGCGGCGCGUGGGUUCACGCGCCGCUGCAAAAAUCCCACACAAACACAGGGGUCUUUAACAGCCCCAUCCCCUCUUCCACCGGUGGUAACCUGCAAAGAAAAAUCAAAGCACAAAGCCAGUUGAUUUUAGUUAUUUUUCAAUCCCUGUUUUCGGAUCUGCUUCUCCUCUGUUUUCUUCAAAUCUACCGAAUCUGAAGCUGGGCGUUACACGCGCCGCCGAUGACAGGUCAGGCAUGUGGAUGGCAGGAUCGGCAACUUCCAUCUUCCUCCUUCAUUUCUAUACCGGCGGUGUCGCCCACUGCAGCCACGGUUGGGAGAUCGGCGCGCCUUUCAAGUCUCGGUUUCUUGCUCCCUUCUACUGUCCUUCGGUUGGUUUUCCUUCUGCGAUGGCCGAUCUGGUGGCUGGAGUCUCUCUUCUUCUUCUCCGCUUCAGGUGGCUGGAGGGGUCUGCUUGUCCGGUGCUGGAGGAAGCUGGUUGAAGGAACCACCGAAGAAGAGGCUGCUGAGGGAGGGGGUUCGGCGUUGAUGGGUGAAGGAGCAGCCGCAGGGAAGAGGCUGAGGGGGGUGGCUGCGUUCGGCUGAGGGAGGAGAAAAUGGUGAAGGGGAAGGCUAAAAGAAAUACAGCAAAAGGGGCGGUCGGUUGAGGGAGAAGAAAAAUGAAAAUCAGGGGAUUGUGGGAGUAAAAAAUUUCAAAACAGGGGAAGGGGCUGGUUCGGUUUACAUGGCAAGGUGGCCGGUUCCAAGAGAAAGGAGAAAGGAGAAAGGGAGGGCUGCCGUGUGUGAGAGCUGGUAGUAAAAAAAAAUCCCAGCCGGGGGAGAAGGAGAAAAUUCAACAGGGGCUGGGAAUUGUGGGUCUCUGCCCACUGCUCUUGGGACCCGGCGAAAAUGGCUCCAACGUCUCCCCCCUCUUGCAAAGCUGGGAAUAAGAAGAAAUAUGAGUUUUUUUCAUUAUGAGGAGGGUCACCAUGUCGGCGGGAAACAAGGAAAAGAGGACCAUGGGUGGGGUUGAGCUGCUUAAUUUUUAGCCGAGAGAGGUAUUAAAUAAUGGUACUGGGCCAGGGGCAACGGCUAGUUUCGGGUGAAGAGAAAAAAAAAUUCUUAGGUUCCCCUCCUUCCAAAAUUCAAAAUUCCCUUAGGCAAAAAUAUUGUUUCGGCCUCAAAAUUGGUCCCUUAAUUUUCUUUUUUUUUGUAAAAUUUGAUUUUUCUUGUUUUUUUGUAUUUUUUUGAAAACGAGCAAUAUCAACGUCGACUCAAAUACGGAAAAUCAAUUAUUUUAAAAAUGACGCGUGAAAAGUCGAACGCGUUCGAAAGACCCUUAAAAAUUUUAAAAAAAAAAAAAUUUUAAAAAAAAAUUGAAAACGACGUUGAAAAUGCUAAAAUGACGAAAAUAUAUUAAAAACAUAUUUUUUUGGAUUUUCUUUGUUUUUCUCUAUUUUUGGAUUUUUUUGAAAAUAUAUCAAAAACAUGGGUCAAAAAUUGGGUAGCAACAAUCAUAAUUUGCAUUAAAACCAGCAAAACCAUAAUUAGCUUUAACUAUUUGCUACGGCCUAACUGGAGCUGCAAACACGACUAAGAACGAUUCGUACCAGGAAGAAGCGUGAAAGAUUCGCUCUUCAGCUGCGCCAUGAAAGCAAGAUUGUCUAAGCACUUUCUUGCAGAUGCGAUGGAAGACCUGAAGAACAUGCCUCGUGAGCAAACGCUCUUAUGGAGCUAAUUCAGCAACGUGCGUGAAUCCUUUGCCAAUAGACCAGCCUAUGAAGACCCAUGAUGCCAGCCAAGAUUGUAAAAGUUCCUGAUAUAAUUACCAGUGCCUGUAACUUCAAAAGAUCGUUCCCGGAGACACCCACCGGCCACCAGCAUGGUGUUUCAAAAGUACAACCAUGCAUUUUUAUACAUAAGAAAAAGAAUACCGUGUUAUUUUCAUUCAAAUUGACACUCUCUUGUUAGUUCGAAUUCUAUCACUCAAUUAUCAUAGAAUAUCAUAUAAUUUACGAUUACAGGAAAGAGCCUAACCCUUAUGCUAUUUGAUUUUAUUUAGAUUUAUUUGUUGGGUUUUAUAUAAAUAUAAUUGGAUAUGUUAUUUUAUCGGAAAUAAGCUGAAUUGUUUGUUCUUAUUAAAGUUUUAGUAUUUUCAUGUUAUUUUUUAAAAUUGUCAGAUAAUUUUUUAUUAUUUAAUUAAAAUAAAAUAUUAUUUUUCCUUUGAAUAUUCUUUUUUUUUUCUACUUUUAAUUCUUAGCAUUUUCUUUUAUUUCUCUAAUUUAUUUUUUUUAGUUUAUUGUCCCGUGUCAAGUAUGAACAUAAACUUCUAAUUGUUUUUAUAGUUAAUUGAUCUGACUUCCAAAUCUUCAAAAUUCAACACAGUUUCCAAUCCUUGACAAUUUUGAGGAUGAUCAUCAAUAAUGAUUAAAAAUAAAUAAACUCACCGCCCCACUGCCCAGAACCGAAACCAAAUGUCCUUUUAUUUCCUUCGACAGACAACACCAGAAACCUAUAUACUUUUUCUCAUUCUUUUCCAAACAAAAAGAAAAAAGGUGCAACAGAAGGCUUUGGCACAUAAAUUUGCAGACUACAGUGGGAAUAUCUACCAUCCCAGAUUUAACAAGAUGACGAUGGAAGGUGAUGCGUAUAGUCAAGCCUGGGACUAAAUGCAAUGGCAGGAACAACUCGUGUCUCUCUAGCACUCCACCCAUCAAACUUUGAUUGAGAGACAGACGCCAAGAAGAAUUAAAAUGACUGGGAGAGUCCACUGCCUUUUUAGUAUUUCUCUUUGUUCAGGUGUGCUUUUAUUUUAAAUUAAUUUGUUCAAAAAAAAGUGUGAAAAAAGUGCAAAAUGACAUAAAAGAUAUAUAUAUAUAUAUAAAAAAGGAGUGAAAAGUGACAGUAGAACAUUAUGACUUUAUUUAAUUAAUUAUUUGUACUUCGUGGUCUAACAUUGCAUGAUUAAAAAUUUUCAAGUAUUUUUUUUUCUUGAUUAAUUUUCAUAUUAAAAAAAAUAGUUUUAUUUUUGUAUUGUAAUUUUACUUGCAAAAUUCGUAUGUGAUCUCGAUUCUAUUUAUAAUUUAGUAUUGCAUAUAUUUGUGUCAUGAUUAUCUAGUGUUAAACCUUAAGUCUACACUUACCAUGAACCCACUCUUAGUUAUACUCUCGAGGUCAUUUGAGAGAAACUGCAACCUCAAAUGACUAAUAUGUCUAAAAGAGUUGAAACACUAGAGAGUUCUCGAAUAAAGCAUCCAAAAAUCAGGAAAAAUCAUAGCUAUAAUUAUUAUGGGCAAGUUCACAUUGAGUGUUGUCAAUAUGACUAUCAUUUAGUUUACUUUACAUGUGAUGACCUUGAUGAGCAUGUCAUGAGCUUUAAGAAAAAUGAAGCUUAACUUUUAACGGUCAUCAUAACUCUUGGGUCUUUGAUAUGUGAAUUUGUGAUGAUGAUUAAUUCUUUGAUUGACACAACUUGUCUAAUAAUAGAAGAGUUAAAUUUGUUAAGAUGGUACUUGUUGGUGAAGCUCAACUUUAAUAGAGAAAUGUUAAGGAUUGUUUAGAGAUGAGAGGUAAACCUCUGGUAACUAAUUGGACUAAAAUGAAACAAAAACUACAGGAGAAGUAAUUACCUCAAUCUUAUAGAAAUAAACUCUUGUACCAAUGGAACAAUCCAAGGCAAUGAAAGAAGUAUGUCAAUGAGUAUAUAACACAAUUUAAUGAUUACAUGAUAAGAAGUGUCAUAAAAUAAAAUAAAACCAUGACUUUGCAUAGGUUUUGUAAAUAUCUGAAUGAUGAUUUUAGAAAAGAAGUCAUACUUAUAUGUGUCUUCAUUCACUCUUGACCAAGCCUAUAUUGUAGUACAAAAUUAUGAGUUGCUUAUAAAUAGUUAACGGACAAAACAUUAAAACCCUUUAAAACCCUUUUUAGAUCUCAAUUUAGAAAUAAUAGUUAUUUAUUAGGUACUCCAUCUUAUAGACCUAAUCCUACUAAUGCCCAAGUUUAUAAAUAAAAUAAGGGAAUAUGAGUCGUUAAUGAAAUUUAUAGGUUAAGUUUAAAGUUCUAAUGUGCUAAAUAUCAAGGUUUCGAUCAUAUUUUCGUUAAUUUUAUCUCUAAACCCUUAAUCAUCCAAAAAUAUAAGAAUAUAGGUGGAAAGUAAGACUAUUAUGUGCAAGUGUAUGAACUCUAUCCUGAAGACUUUAGCGACCUAGAUGAAGAAAAUGUACAAGAAGAGGAAUUUAACAAUAUAAGUUCAAAUAAUUUUAAAGACUCAAUAGUUAGUACUAAAAUGAUGAAUAUAGUUUUCAAGAGUAUUAUACACAUCUAAAAGAAAGGUUAAUAAAUAAUAUAAUAAUUAUGCUUUAAUGGUAAAGAAAUAAAUUUUACGAAACUCUUUAAUGAAAUCACCCGAAGAGGCAAUUAUGGUCUUCAAAAAUUCUUAUGAUAUUAAUCCUUUUAAACUACCUAAUUCCCCCAUCAACCAUGCUUGAUGUCCAGCACAUCAUCGAUUUAGAUCAAAAUGUUGAGUUUUUUUUAUCUCUAACCCCCGACACGUGAUGAGGAAGAUGAAGAUAAUCAUAAUUUACUAGGUUAUGUCCAAACUAUAUGUAUUAAGACUUUGAAUAGUGUUUGUUCCAUUUCACACCUUUAGUCAUAUAGUGUUCAUAAUUGCGAAUCUAGAAAGCUUGUAGAUUUUCUUUCUAUGUCUCCUCACGUUAAAAUUUCUGAUUCAACUAAGUCUUUUGUAUAUAGAGUUCAUAAUUUGUAUGUUGAGAUCAUUGAGCAAAUUCAAGUAAGUAAUGAACAAUACACAUUUCAAGCUGAUUUGCAUAAGUAUCAUAAUAUACUUAAUGUUUGAGAUUAUUUCAUUAUACAGAUUAAACUUGAACAGUUUUCUUUGAAAACCAUUUAUAAAUUGCAAGUGAGUAGUGCUAGACCAUUCAAAGUGUUGUGAAUGAUUGAAUCAUAUACUUAUGUUAUUAAAUUGUCACUAAACUUUGAUAUUAGCUCUACUUUUGACAUGAAAGAGCUUGUUAUAUAUAAAACACAACAACUUAUCCAUGAUACUCUUUUUGAUGUCCCUAUCGUAUUAUCCUUAUCAUUGGAACAAAAGAAACAUAUCAAUGUUGUUUUGGAUGCACAAGUUGUUUUUAUCAAGAAUGGUGAAGUUCAGUGAAUCCUGGUAUAUGAGUUAAGCGACUAGAUUUAGAUUGUACUUGGAUUACCAGAGAGAUAUCAUAGCAGCUUGAUCCUUAUUUUUUAGAGCGUUAUCGAAGCUGUCUUGACCUAUACUCGACGGGGUUAAGUUUUUCCAAUCUCGAAAGAGUUAAUAAAGACAUCAAACUCAAUGCAUGGUUCACAUGUCAAGACAUCUAUGAUAAUAAAAGAUAAUCCAAGUCUUGUGCUAUUAGAUUUUAUUCAGAUUUAUUUCUUAAAUUUAAUUUAAAUGUUAUUGAAUAUUUUAUUUGGUGGACUAUAAACUCAAUUAUUUAUUCUAAUUAGAGUUAUAGCAUUUAUAAGUUAUUUUUAAAAAUAUUAGAUGUUUUAUAUGAUUUAAUUAAAAUAACAUACUAUUUUUUUUUCUGAUUUCUCUAUUUUUCCUAGCUUUUCUUUCCUUGCUUUUAAUCUUGGCUUCUUUUUUUCUUUUUCUACUUUCAUCUUUCUUUAGUUUAUUGUCCCACAUCAUGGAGUUAUGAUGUAGGAUUCUGCAAGAAAUACCAAGAAUUUUAAUUUUAAUUAUGGAUGAUAGCGAGAACAAACUGGUUACAGUCUAGGCUCUUCAUCAUUCAAUAAAAUGAUCUACAUGAAGUGAACUCGACUCCAUUUGAUAGAUUUGGUUCAAGCGAGUGAUUUAUAGCUGCAAAAAAACUAUUCCUUUUAUGCUUUUCUUUGACCACCCAAAUUGCCAAUCAAACUAUCCAGGAUCAUAAACUCCAUCUUGAUUUCAAGUGGGGGCAGUGUCAUCAGACCAACUGGCAAUUGGUCUCUGAUCCUCGGUAACUAAAUUUUCGACUGCCAGUAAUUGUCAACAAACAGAGGAACAAGUAUUGUUGCUCCGACAGUACUUUUAACAGCAGAAAUAGUACACGCCAAGCACCAAUUGAUUCACACUUGUUUGCAACUCUGUACCCAAUGAGAAAUGAAAGACCACUAUGCAACCCAGAAGCUUGGCUUUUUUUAGGGCACUGAGCCAUCAACCAAGCUCCUCAAAGAUGGCAGCGUGCCAUAUUUCAGAACCAGACCAAUACUCUUCCACACAAAAAUUGUUCGAUCACACCAUGUCGCCUGUUAAAUUUUCAUAAAUUUAUGAGAGGAGAAAUGUUGCAAUGGAUGUCGAUAUAAGAACUCAAGACGCACACGAUGAUGAAAUGUAUUGAAUCCUACCAUUGAGCUUCCAUGAAGAAAAGGAUCCUGAAAUUGGUACUAUUUACUAAGCAAUCAAUACUCAGCUAUAGCCAAACCUUGAAGGAGGUCUUAAGUUUGGAAGCUCUGGUAAAUAAAGUAAUAAAAAUUCAGAUUCGAGGUUUGGAGGAACUCUAGUGUUGCAACAUUUGAAAAGCCUCUAACCAUUCCUAAAUAUUAUUUCCUCUAGAUUGACGAAACUUACUUUGAACGAAGCCAUCCGCCAGCUUAUGUGGAUGAGCAGAUGUUAAUCAUAAGAAUUAAAAAUGUGGAAAGAAGAAGAAUUUACUUGAUAAUCCUCCAGAAUCAUUUGAUCUAUCUUCCUAGCAAGCAUAUGGUGAACCAUAAAAGCAUAAUCUGCAGGUAUUAAGCAAAACUGGAUGCUCAUCUACUAUAGAAAUAAAUAAAUAAACCAAGAAAAAUUAGUACCAUGAAUGAACAAUUCAUCUAGUACUAACAAUCAGUCCAGUUCAGCUGCAGCUCAUCGCCAACUAAUCACCAAUCAAGGUCAAGUCCUGCACCCUCUGGCUUCUCCCAAAAGUGAAACAUCCCUUUCCUCUCUAAACCUGGUGAAGAUGAAGCACAUGCACUACAUGAUGGAUGAAACUUCAUCUGACAUAACAGGGGGAGGAUAAAUCCAGCCAGAUGCCAAUUAUUUAAUUCAUUUUCUGAAUUCUAAACUAAAUUUCUAGGUAAGAAUUCAAAUUUGAAGUUUCCAGCAUUCGCUGAAAAAGAAAAUGUAUCAUCUAAAUAUUGAAGCCCAUUUUAAGACAUAUGCCCCCUGUGGAAACAUUAAGCCUUCAACACCCACUAAUCUGGCUUGAUUCUUCCUGUUACGCACCCGCAUGUGACAUAUGCUACCCAAAAAGCACCGCCAGAAAAUCUUCCCUGGUUGCAGCUUACUAAUUUAAACAUACUAUGUUAAAAUCAUUCAAAUUUUCAAAUCAGAAAUGAAUAGAGAAAUCAUAAUUUCAUGCAGCAUCUCAACUAAAUUGUGCACAUGCUUGGGUAGCCUUUUCAACCGCAUUUUUAAACAAAUAAACCAUCCAAUACUAAUCAUUUCACUCCAAAUAGAACGAUCUACAAAACUUUGUUUGUGGAAGCUUUCAGUUAUGAAAGGUCUUCAGUCAAGUCAGCAAAUUUCAGUUCUAUAAUGGUCAUACAAAAAUUUACAUAAGCAAAAUACAAUCUAGUAUUGAACUUUUAUUUUGACAGUUCCACUUGUAUAAAGUGAGUAAGGCAACACCAAUUAAGAAGAUUACAACUUAUAUUGUGAUUUGUAGAAUCCAAGUUGCUUAUCUUAGUGGCUGCAAGCAUUUGCAUGCUUGAAGACACAAAGACACCCAUAGAUAAGAGAACAAAUUUUAUCAAGUAACAAAAAGAAACACAAGUCAGCCUCAAAAUCAAUAUGAAUAAACAUUCAACCACAUUGAGAUAUAUUAAAACACCUUUUUAAGGAAUAUUGGUUAUACCCAGUCAGUUUAUCAUACACACAUAUUCCUCAUCCAACAAAAGAUGGACAUUUAAUCCUCGGUUCUCCACUAAGAAGUUAAGGAAACAGUUUUGCAUCAAAACACAAGAAUUUUACUAAAAAUUAGUCCAAAAAAGUUUCUUCUCACCAAGCACUGUUAUUACUUGGAAGGAAAUUAUGUAAAAAAGGUGGUAGCAUUUCAGCUAUGGAACUAUCAAAGUAGGGUUCUAGAAGAAAAAAUCUGGAUUGUCUUACCUUAAUGAUUUUUGCACAAGUGGCUGUCCUUAAGACUCAAACCUGCAGUCUUGUGGUAGCAAGCUCAAGAUUUUCACCAUUUCCAUACAACGGUCCCUUGUUUAUAUUGUUCUUAUACUGUUCAUUUGGAAUGCUCUUUAAGACCCAAGAGCAUCAUUUGUGGAAUGAGUGUUAAUACCACACAUGUUAAACCCUGCUGGUUCUUCUGUUCAUAAAAAAAUGCUGUUUCUAAUGCAAUAGCAAGUUCUUUAGCUCAAUGAUAUUAAACUGAUAUUUGCUAGCUAAUAUUCUUGAAUAGUGUGUUAUUAGACAGCAUUUAUAAUGGCCUAAAUGCCUAAGAACAUGAGCCACAAAGAGUAAUAGCAGCAGCAGAUGUGAUGUUAAUGAUGAUGUUCAAACAUUAUAUUCCACUGUCACCAAAAUUGACUAUUUAGUGGGCAGUUUCAAAAGGGAAGAAACUCCCAUGAUCGCCAAACACCAUUCAGCUUCCAGUCGUAUUACACCAAAAAAUCCAUGCUACGGUACAAGUGCCUUUUUAUUUGCAGCUAUCAGUUGAAAACUCUGAUGUUAUCUUUCUGAAAAUUUAAGAUAACAUAUGGAAGUUGCUAGACUAAAAUAAACCUGCUAAACAGGCACGGUGUCGUUGACUUAUGGAAAUUUAGACACUAAGAUUAAAUUGAGCCAUUUCACAAAUUACUGGCAAGAUCUGCCCCAGCAAGCUGAGAAAUACUUUCAAGAGGGGAGACAGGGAUUGACUCUUGCACAAAAGCACAUGUCCCAUCUAGAGAAUGACAAUUACUUGAGUAUCUCCCAUGAUGGAACGACCUUCAGGAACUUGUCCAUCAUGUCACCCAGAGAAGAGAAGUGUAGUUAAACAGGAAAAAAGGAAUCGCUAGUUAUUGAAGUUAGACCUCACUUCUGCAUAGCCUACGACCUUGGGAUUGUGAACAAACUCUGGGAAUUUACACUUUACAUUCUGAAAACAAUCAUUAGACACUACUUAAAAGCAACCACUUGAAGCAAAAAUAUGUAGCUGGAUCAUCAAGCUGAUCUAGAUAUUCAAACUUCAACUAUGAAAGCAAAUACAUGACAGGGAAAAAAAAAUAUAGCCACAAUAUCUUUAACCAUAGGCAAUGAUAUUUCACCAGAGUCAAAACAAAGCAGUAUGAGACAUUAUUGAGACUAUCCUAAGUUUGCACAAUAUAUGCAGGCAGAGUAACAAUAUCCCACUAGAUACCCCUCCUAAUUGACACUCCAGUUCCAGAAGCAGCUUACCAAAAACAGAAAAUUGAUUUGCAUGCAAGUCCAGCUGUUGAGAUGAACAAAAUUGACAUGACCGGGAAAUCAAUUAAAAUCAGCACCCAUUUCCUUGUGUUUCAACUCUAAUGCCAUCCGCUCAUUCUCAAGCUUCAUCCUCUCAUUUUCCAUCCUCAGUUUUUCUAGUUCACGGUCUCUUUUCUUACUAAAUCUUUGCCAUUUGAAUCGCUGUUUUUCCAAUUCCAGCAUCUCUUGUUGAAUUUUUAGAUUCUGUUCUUCCAACUGAAGUGUGCGAGAUUCCAUCCACUGCUUCUGCAACCACGAUGCUCUUGAACUUUCAGGAGAGACUUGAUUCAUAUCAACUUGGGCAAUCUGUGGAUGAGAAUAAGAAGACCCUUUAUUAGGGUCCUGAGAUGAAUUCCCAAAAUAAACAUCUUCAUGGCCCUGGCAUGGUCUCGGUCUCUUUGCAGAACCCCCUAAUACCCCAUGUAUGCCCCUACUAUCCCCAUGGGAAGCAUGAUUCUCCCCAAAUUCAUCAUGAUCAUCAGUUUCAAUCUCUUGAUCAUCUUCAUCAAGAUCAUCACGUUGGUUUCUCCUUACAUCAUCGUUGUCAUGAUCAUCUCUACUUCUUAGAGCCAAUUGUAGGGAACGCUGCAAAGCUGGAUCAUGAGGCAGGUGCAACCUAUUUCCAUUAUGAUAGGAACACAUUUCUUCAUAGAAAAGAUGCUUUGAGCUUAAUAUCUUCCUAACAUCAUCCUUAUCCUUCUCUGUUAAAUAAUCUAUAACAUCUAAAAGUGCAGGGUUUUCCACAACCUGACAAGAAGUGCCCCUCCCAAGCAUAUCAUUGAGCCUUUUAUACCUUUUAUUAAGGUCAUUGAAUUUAUCCUCACACUGCUGUGGAGAAACAUGAAAACCUCUUUCAGCCAUGACUUUUGAAACUGAUUUCCACUUGCCUUUUUUCUGCAAAACUGUGAAUCUCCUACGCAUUCCACCACCACAAUCUGAAGUCGCAUCCUCACCAAUAUAAGACACGGCAGUUAUCAAGAGCCUCACCAUCUUAUCAGUCCACUUAACACGGUGCCACGGAGUCCCUUUUUUCCCUCUUCUUACAUCAUUGUGACCAUCAGCACCUUCUUCGGUGUAGCUUGGCUCAUCCUCAUCACUGACUGAAUUUUUCCUCCCAUCUCCUUUAUUGUAAUCAGUCAUGGACAUGUUUUGAUCAGAGUUGUGCAUGGCCCCCAUUGUGAGUGGAAAACCAUCGUGAACUGAGGGAUGCGUUGAAGAUCCUUGGCGAUGGAUAGGAUGCUGGUGGU
rnacentral:lncRNA from 1 species